AUUGCACGCUGGCGGCAGGCCUAAUACAUGCAAGUAGAACGCAGUUGCGAACGGGUGAGUAACGCGUAGGUAACUGCCUGGUAGCGGUGGUUCACUAUUGGAAACGAUAGCUAAUACCGCAUACUCCCAGAUGGACCUUCGUUGUAUUAGCUAGUUGGUGGGGUAACGGCUCACCAAGGCAACGAUACAUAGCCGACCUGAGAGGGUGAGCGGCCACACGGGGACUGAGACACGGCCCAGACUCCUACGGGAGGCAGCAGGAGGGAAUCUGGGGCAAUGGACGGAAGUCGGACCGAGCAACGCAGCGUGAGUGAAGAAGGUGUUCGGAUAGUAAAGCUCUGUUGUAAGAGAAGCGGUAUCUUACCAGAAAGGGACGGCUAACUACGUGCCAGCAGCCGCGGUAAUAC
rnacentral:rRNA from 1 species